GAUCUGGCUCAGAUUGAACGCUGGCGGCAUGCCUUACACAUGCAAGUCGAACGGCAGCAUGGAGAGCUUGCUCUCUGAUGGCGAGUGGCGAACGGGUGAGUAAUACAUCGGAACGUGUCCGUUUGUGGGGGACAACCGUCCGAAAGGAUGGCUAAUACCGCAUAAGACCUGAGGGUGAAAGCCGGGGACCGCAAGGCCCGGCGCAGACGGAGCGGCCGAUGAUUGAUUAGCUAGG
rnacentral:rRNA from 1 species